rnacentral:rRNA from 1 species
GACGAACGCUGGCGGCGUGCCUAAUACAUGCAAGUCGAGCGGACUUUCAAGAAGCUUGCUUUUCGAAAGUUAGCGGCGGACGGGUGAGUAACACGUGGGCAACCUGCCUGUACGACGGGGAUAACUCCGGGAAACCGGGGCUAAUACCGGAUAAUAUCUUUCUUCGCAUGAAGGAAGGUUGAAAGGCGGCGCAAGCUGCCGCUUGCAGAUGGGCCCGCGGCGCAUUAGCUAGUUGGUGAGGGAACGGCUCACCAAGGCGACGAGGCGUAGCCGACCUGAGAGGGUGAUCGGCCACACUGGGACUGAGAAACGGCCCAGACUCCUACGGGAGGCAGCAGUAGGGAAUCUUCCGCAAUGGACGAAAGUCUGACGGAGCAACGCCGCGUGAGCGAAGAAGGUCUUCGGAUCGUAAAGCUCUGUUGUCAGGGAAGAACAAGUGCCGUUCGAAUAGGGCGGUACCUUGACGGUACCUGACCAGAAAGCCACGGCUAACUACGUGCCAGCAGCCGCAGUAA